CCGAAGGUUUUACAAGCGCAUCAACCCCUGUGAACAUACCUACGUUGUUGCUUCGGCAGCGGACCAGGGCGGGCCAGCAGCCUGUAUUUUUCACGGCCGCCUCGCCAGGAGGACCACUUCAAACUCUUUUGUAUACGUACUUUCUGAGCUAAACAACAAAUAAGUUA
rnacentral:misc_RNA from 1 species